GACGAACGCUGGCGGCGUGCCUAAUACAUGCAAGUUGAGCGCUGAAGGUUGGUACUUGUACCAACUGGAUGAGCAGCGAACUGGUGAGUAACGCGUGGGGAAUCUGCCUUUGAGCGGGGGACAACAUUUGGAAACGAAUGCUAAUACCGCAUAAAAACUUUAAACACAAGUUUUAAGUUUGAAAGAUGCAAUUGCAUCACUCAAAGAUGAUCCCGCGUUGUAUUAGCUAGUUGGUGAGGUAAAGGCUCACCAAGGCGAUGAUACAUAGCCGACCUGAGAGGGUGAUCGGCCACAUUGGGACUGAGACACGGCCCAAACUCCUACGGGAGGCAGCAGUAGGGAAUCUUCGGCAAUGGACGAAAGUCUGACCGAGCAACGCCGCGUGAGUGAAGAAGGUUUUCGGAUCGUAAAACUCUGUUGGUAGAGAAGAACGUUGGUGAGAGUGGAAAGCUCAUCAAGUGACGGUAACUACCCAGAAAGGGACGGCUAACUACGUG
rnacentral:rRNA from 1 species